UCCAAAGAAUGGGAUGUCGGGGUACAAGACUCACUUCCUUUGGGCUUUGUCCUUCUUGGCCUUGGUCCUUUUCUUCCGGGCCUGGAGCGCAAGCACUGCAGGAGAGAGGGAUGGAAGAAGGGCGAAUGUGGAGUAAAGGAGGCGACCAAGUGGCAAGUCUCCUUUCUAUUUCAACUAGCGGGAAAAUAGACAGCCCAGCAGCGGUUACACCUUAUAGAGAAGAGACCUCACGUCAAAGCAAAUGAAGCCAGGGACCAAAGGACUCAACGCCCAGGUCUUCGAAUAAUCAAUGUGGAGCUGCUUUACCCCAUUCUCCCUAGCAACACACAAAUCCUUCCCAGCGUCUACUCUGAGAGUUCAACCAGACGCCAAGCAGGAUAGCGGUGGGUUUGCCUGUGAUGCUGCGAUCCAAUGAAGACCCCUGGGAACCCUACAGAUCGGAAAGGAAAGAAGACUCUGGAUCAUAGCUUGAGUCAGAGGAGAGUUUUGUUCCUUACAUAGUUAAGGGACAAGAAGUGCGGACAGUGGCCAAGGAACUCUUUUAUGUCCAAUGUACAGUAGUAUUUGCUCAUAAAGGAACAUAGAGGAAAAUAUGAAAAAUUAAAAAGCAGAAACAAAUCACCCAAA